rnacentral:rRNA from 2 species
CCCAGACAGCCAGGAUGUUGGCUUAGAAGCAGCCAUCAUUUAAAGAAAGCGUAAUAGCUCACUGGUCGAGUCGGCCUGCGCGGAAGAUGUAACGGGGCUAAACCAUGCACCGAAGCUGCGGCAGCGACGCUUAUGCGUUGUUGGGUAGGGGAGCGUUCUGUAAGCCUGUGAAGGUGGCCUGUGAGGGUUGCUGGAGGUAUCAGAAGUGCGAAUGCUGACAUAAGUAACGAUAAAGCGGGUGAAAAGCCCGCUCGCCGGAAGACCAAGGGUUCCUGUCCAACGUUAAUCGGGGCAGGGUGAGUCGACCCCUAAGGCGAGGCCGAAAGGCGUAGUCGAUGGGAAACGGGUUAAUAUUCCCGUACUUGGUGUUACUGCGAAGGGGGGACGGAGAAGGCUAUGUUGGCCGGGCGACGGUUGUCCCGGUUUAAGCGUGUAGGCUGGUUUUCCAGGCAAAUCCGGAAAAUCAAGGCUGAGGCGUGACGACGAGGCACUACGGUGCUGAAGCAACAAAUGCCCUGCUUCCAGGAAAAGCCUCUAAGCAUCAGGUAACAUCAAAUCGUACCCCAAACCGACACAGGUGGUCAGGUAGAGAAUACCAAGGCGCUUGA